rnacentral:lncRNA from 1 species
UUGUAAUCUAUUUUAGAGUUGAUUAGGUUUUAGUUAGGAUUUGGUUUAGGGAGUAGGAUUUGUCUAGGAUUUAAUUUAGGAUUUUUUGAGGAUUUGGUUUAAGAUUAAUUAAGGAUUUUAUUUAAUAUAUAUAUUUUUUUUUUUUUUUUUUUUUUUUUAGGAUUUGGAUUAAGAUUUAGGAUUUUUCUAAGGUUUAAUUUAGUAUUUAAAAUUUUUCUAAGAUUUAAUUUAAGAUUUAAGAUUUUUCUAAGAUUUUGUUUAUGAUUUAGGAUUUUUCUAGGAUUUGAUUUAGGAUUUAGAAUUUGUUUAGGAUUUGGUUUAGGAUUUAAAAUUUAUUUAGGAUUUAAUUAUAAUUUAACUAAAAUUUGAUCCAAAAUUUAAUUAGAUCCAUUAGAAUUUUAAUUAGAAUUAAAAUAGGAU